AGCGAACGCUGGCGGCAGGCCUAACACAUGCAAGUCGAACGAAGUCUUCGGACUUAGUGGCGGACGGGUGUGUAACACGUGGGAACGUGCCUUUAGGUUCGGAAUAACUCAGGGAAACUUGUGCUAAUACCGAAUGUGCCCUUCGGGGGAAAGAUUUAUCGCCUUUAGAGCGGCCCGCGUCUGAUUAGCUAGUUGGUGAGGUAAAGGCUCACCAAGGCGACGAUCAGUAGCUGGUCUGAGAGGAUGAUCAGCCACAUUGGGACUGAGACACGGCCCAAACUCCUACGGGAGGCAGCAGUGGGGAAUCUUGCGCAAUGGGCGAAAGCCUGACGCAGCCAUGCCGCGUGAAUGAUGAAGGUCUUAGGAUUGUAAAAUUCUUUCACCGGGGACGAUAAUGACGGUACCCGGAGAAGAAGCCCCGGCUAACUUCGUGCCAGCCGCCGCGGUAA
rnacentral:rRNA from 1 species